GUCGAGAAUCUUCCGCAAUGCGCGAAAGCGUGACGGAGCGACACCGCGUGAUGGAUGAAGUCCUUCGGGGCGUAAACAUCUUUUAUAAAGGAGGAAAUUUUUGACGUUACUUUAUGAAUAAGGGGCUCCCAAUCUCGUGCCAGCAGGAGCGGUAAUACGAGAGCCUCAAGCGUUAUCCGGAAUCAUUGGGCGUAAAGGGUGCGUAGGUGGUUUGAUUAGUCUCCCGUUAAAACUUCGAGCUUAACUCGAAAAGAGCGGGGGAAACGGUCAAACUAGAGUAUGUGAGAGGUGUGUGGAACUCAUGGUGUAGGGGUGAAAUCCGUUGAUAUCAGGGGGAACACCAAAAGCGAAGGCAGCACACUGGCACAUCACUGACACUGAGGCACGAAACCUAAGGUAGCGAAUGGGAUUAGAUACCCUAGUAGUCC
rnacentral:rRNA from 1 species